ACGUAGGGGGCGAGCGUUAUUCGGAAUUACUGGGUGUAAAGGGUAUGUAGGCGGCCCUUCAAGUCGCGUGUCAAAGUCCAGUGCUCAACGCUGGGAGUGCGCGGGAUACUGUCGAGCUUGAGGGCUGGAGGGGUGAGCGGAAUUCCCGGUGUAGUGGUAAAAUGCGUAGAGAUCGGGAGGAACACCAGCGGCGAAGGCGGCUCACUGGACAGUAACUGACGCUAAGAUUCGAAAGCGUGGGGAGCAAACAG
rnacentral:rRNA from 1 species